AACGAACGCUGGCGGCAGGCUUAACACAUGCAAGUCGAGCGCCUCGCAAGAGGAGCGGCAGACGGGUGAGUAACGCGUGGGAACGUUCCCUUAUCUUCGGAAUAGCUCUGGGAAACUGGAAGUAAUACCGAAUGUGCCCUUAGGGGGAAAGAUUUAUCGGAUAAGGAUCGGCCCGCGUUGGAUUAGCUAGUUGGUGGGGUAAAGGCCUACCAAGGCGACGAUCCAUAGCUGGUCUGAGAGGAUGAUCAGCCACAUUGGGACUGAGACACGGCCCAAACUCCUACGGGAGGCAGCAGUGGGGAAUAUUGGACAAUGGGCGCAAGCCUGAUCCAGCCAUGCCGCGUGAGUGAUGAAGGCCUUAGGGUUGUAAAGCUCUUUCACCGGAGAAGAUAAUGACGGUAUCCGGAGAAGAAGCCCCGGCUAACUUCGUG
rnacentral:rRNA from 1 species